GGCCCUCCUGAUGGAAACCUUGAUGGAAACCAUCACGUCAUCCAAAUUGUGAUGGAAACCUUGAUGGAAACUAUCACGUCAUCCAAAUUGUGAUGGGAGCACCAAGUAGCCGAGUACACAAUUAUACCUAGCAUAUUUACAAAACAAUUAGAUAUUUGUAGGUAUGAAUAGAUAGUAGAAACAAGAGAACUGCAACAAAUGUAAACAUGAAAAUCUAUUAUAUAAUUAUAAAAUGAUACAAAACAAAUGGCAUAGAUGUAACAAUAAAAGAGCUAAAAAGAAUGGAUGUGAUCUAACAAAGUUUAUCAAACGAAGCCUAUGAUUGAGAAGUGCAAAACAAAACACAUGGAAGGAAACUUGCCA
rnacentral:lncRNA from 1 species